GACGAACGCUGGCGGCGUGCUUAACACAUGCAAGUCGAACGGAAAGGCCCUGCUUUUGUGGGGUGCUCGAGUGGCGAACGGGUGAGUAACACGUGAGUAACCUGCCCUUGACUUUGGGAUAACUUCACGAAACUGGGGCUAAUACCGGAUAGGAGCUCCUGCUGCAUGGUGGGGGGUGGAAAGUCUCGGCGGUUGGGGAUGGACUCGCGGCUUAUCAGCUUGUUGGUGGGGUAGUGGCUUACCAAGGCUUUGACGGGUAGCCGGCCUGAGAGGGUGACCGGCCACAAUGGGACUGAGGUACGGCCCAGACUGGUACGGGAGGCAGCAGUGGGAAGUAUUGCCCAGUGAGCGCGAGCCUGUUACAGAGGCGCUGGGUGCGUGAUGACCGCCUUCGGGUUGUAAACCGCUUUCGCCUGUGACGAAGCGUGAGUGACGGUAAUGAAUAAAGAAGCACCGGCUAACUACGUG
rnacentral:rRNA from 1 species